rnacentral:lncRNA from 1 species
GUGUGAGUAUACACAUGGAGGCCUGAGCUUAAGAUCAGGAGGCAUCCUUAACAUUACUAAUUGAGACAGGGUCUCUCAAUCAAACUCAGAGCUCACUGAUGUAAUCUCAUCUUACUAGUCAUCUUGCUCUAGGGAUCCUAGCUCUGCCUUCUGAGAAGCUGGAAUUACAGAUAGGACACUGCGUCCACUAGGCAUAGGUUUCUUGAGUUCUUGUACUUGCAGGGCAAGCUGAGCCAUCUCCCUAGCACCUCCAAAAAAACUGAGUGGGCCGAGGACUUAGUUCAAUGGAAGAGUCUAUGUUUAGCAUAUCUAAGACCCUGGGUUUGAUCCCUAGCACAAACAAGUAAGGAUCUUUCGGGUAGCUCUUAGUACUUCAUGUACAUUUAGUAUUCAUAGAUGGAGAUCAUAAAUCAAACCUGUUAUGGAUUCUUAGCUCUUUCAAUCAACAGGCAUUUGAUUCAGCACAAGUAAUACCUACAAAGAGCUAUGAGCCUACCUAGAGUAGUCAAGCCACAAACAAUGGGUCACACCCAGACCUGUAGACUGGCCCCAGCUCACGAAUGCCAAUCAACACCAAUUUGGACCAAAGUCUCUCAUUAGAGAAAACAUGCGUAGGUAUAGAUGGUGAUAAAAUAGUUCUAGAGCCAAGUGCUGUCACAGCAGAGCCAGUCAAGUGGUGGCCUGCAGGGAAUGUGGUCAGUGACAACAACGUAAAUAACAUGCGGGUGAUUUGUAACAAGUGCACUUCUUUGGGAGAAAGUCUAUAGAAAGCAUGCUAUGCUCAGGAGUAGGGAGUAAGGCACAGGCACAGGCACAGCAGGUGACAGAGCUGAGCGAAAGGCAGCACACCCAGGGAAAGCAGACACAGAAGCAAGAAGGGCCCUACCUGCUAUGAGCUACGCGGUCCUAAGGGGUUCUAGACACAGGAACAACUAGAACCAUGGGACCCGGCUCUGUCAGCUCCAUGCUAGCACUGGGUUGGGCACCUGCACGUGUAAGCGCCAACGGUAGCUAAUCUUUAGGACACACGUGCUUCCUGCGAUCAGGUCAGCUCUGCAGCUAAUGGUAAUCUGGAGGCUAGCCAACUUUACUUAGCAAUUUCCCAAAACCUAAAAAAAUGGUUAAGAUCUACAAGCAGGACAUUAGUAUAAGAAUGGCUUUAAGACAUGAAGAAAAUAUUUAUAAUCAGGUCAUCAAAAUCUCCGACAUGGAUGGGGAGUUAUCAGCUCAAAAAGCCAAUGUCUCCUGCCUCUCGGUGUACCUCCCUGCUUGAUACUGGUGGAAUUCUCACACUCACCAUUCCAUCUUGUAUCUCACUCUCUGAAAAACCGCAAAAUAAUUCCUCAUCAGAGUCGGCAUGAAAAAUGCUGGCCAAUUCCUUAGUGGCAUCUGGCCUUGGUUUCUGUAAAAAUCCAGUGACUUAAUACAUCCUGCACCUCACCCUUUGAAAAGCUGCAGAAAGAUUCAUUCUCAGAGUCCUCAUUACAAAAGAAAGAAAGAAAAAACACCAAAAACAUGAGCCCAGUUCUUCACUGAUAUCUGACCUGAAUUUAGGUUUCUGUAAAAUAAAUAAAUAAAUGUGCAUGUGGAUUUUUUUUUUUCCUUUUUCAAGAACCAAUUUUCCAUAAACUGUGCAGAGAGCAAAUCACAUUUACAAGUGCACUCACUACAGGAGAAUGGCUUUUGUUACAAAGAAAAAUGGUUCAGAGGUUUACAAAUGAUUUCUGAGUUGUUAUAGCAAGUCAUCAGUCGCGUUAGGUUAGGCGACACUUCAAAAGGACACAAUAAGCAGCUAAUCUGCCUUCAACAAUUACCACCUAGAACCACAGCAAAGAGCGAGGCGAAAUGACAGCGCAUGGUGCAGUUUCCUAACGGCUGUAUAGAAAUGCAGGCGAAAAAGCAAGCGGUUUUUAAAUCGUGCACAAAGUGUUUGGGGGCAUUUGGAGCAUGGCAGACUCGAUCCUGUUUAUUCUCAGGCAGCACUUACUGUGUUUGCAAAAUUAUCAGAAGCAAAGCUGUCACAACUGUCAUCGGAGGAGGACGAUGUCUCCAUGGAAAUCAACUUCAUAUAUCUGACAUCCUUUAAGUUCUUUACUUUGAGAGCCUUUUGCUGCGGAGAGAAAUGGCAACACCAUUGAACAGGGUGCUUCUGGCCAUACAGGACUACUCAACACAUCAGUUCUCAGUCUGGUAGGUUUACACAGCAGAGUAGACAGACGGACUGAAACUUUUUCAGACCUUACAGAGAAAAAUGAUUGGCAAUUACCACCAAAAAAAUAAAUAAAUAAAAAUUAAAAAAAUAUAAUCAACUCAGGUCAAAUUCUAAGGAAGGAUCUCUUCAGGAGGUCAUUUUAAUGGUACGCAUCAACUUAGCCUCUGGAUAUCUGCAGUUACUUCUCCUCCCACCUUAAACUCCGAAGCAUUUAGCAUUAUAGAACUCCACAGAGCUUAACACCAGCUCCUAAAACCCAGCCUCAUUUUUUCUCAUUGAACUGUACUUCUAAAAGGAGAUUUCAAAAGUACAAAAUGGAGGAGCAAUUUUUCUCCCUCAGCCAAAAAUCAAGCUAAUGAGGUCUUUUUAUGUAAGCCUUGGGCUCUGCACUGUGAUGCUAAUUUCCUAAACUACAAAAAUUGGGCAGGUCCUGUGUUUUAAGAUGGCAGUCACCCAAACAGGCGCCGCUCGCUCCAAGGAGAGGGGCAUGGAGGUUUUGCAGUCUUUACAAAUCAAGGGUUAUCAGCCCGAAAAUACAUAGUACAAGAAGCCAAGUCAGAGGUCAACUAACACUCCUAGGCCAGGUUGAAGACUGGAUUCCAUAGGAACUCUCUGACCAUGGGCUCCAUACAGCUUUCUCAUGGCCCCCAGAAGGCUUGAGAAUUCUAAGACCUGUGGUAGAAGUCAACAGUAAGCAUUUCUAGCAAAUAAAGGUCAAGUUAGUCGGAAUUAUGAAAAAACUCCAUUCAUUUUAGCUUACAGCCUUGUACUGUCCACUAGAAAAUGUAACCAGGACAGCCUAUUUGGCCAUUUCUUAUUGACCCAAGUUGGGCCAGCCCCACCAGAGUGCCCAAGGGUGUUAGGGAACAGAAAAUGCCUAGAUGUUGGGAAAGACUUCCUUCCGCACCUAACACAUUACAUUUCAGUCUCUCGGAUACAAUAAAAUGAUUUCCAAGAUGUUGGUGGCCCAGCCUCCACAUCAUGUUCCUAAGUAGACACCAAUCAACCAUUUGUGUAUGCUUCUGAUAUCCUAAUGGCAGCAAUGUGUGGUAUUCGAGAGAGCUACCAAAUAUUGUAUUUACAACAGUAGUUCGAGGCGGUGGGUGGAGAGUUAGGAGUUAAAAGGGAUUCAAAAGUCUGCCCAGGUUUCUGGUAGAGGAAGUCCAAGGCAAUAAGGUGCAACAAAAUGCAAAGAACUAAGAAAUCCCCAAAACGGCACACAGCUCCUUAAAUGACUUUAAUUCUCUACACUCUACUAAUCAAUUUAACUCCAUGUCAGCCUCAGGGGAGGCAGUCAAUCAAAAGCCAUCAGGAAAAGAGGCUAAUCUUUAACAAGCCAGGACAGGCCAACGGUCAGUCAUUCACCAGGCAAGUAUGUCUUCGAUGGAAAAGACACACAAAAAAGGAGAGCCAAAGGUCGUGCCUGGGGUGAACUUUUUUGGCAGAUGUAACUCUUAAUUCUGUUUACGGUGAGUGUUCUUUGACGGCAGAUUUGGUACUGAUGUUCGCUUAAUUCUUUGCAGCGACGUUACCAUCACUUAAAUAAGUAAGAAAACUGAAGUGCGG